UGCCUGACCGUAAACCCUGCCUGCCAACCCACAUGCAGGCCGCCAGAGAACUACAAGCAACCAGCUUCAAACUCCAAGGACUUGACGGUGUCCUAACCCCCUAGAGGAGCCUGUCCUUUAAUCGAUACCCCACGCUAAACCUCACCCCCACUUGCAAACUCAGCCUAUAUACCGCCGUCGAAAGUCUACCCUAUGAAUGAACCUCCGUGGACAAAAAAGCUCUCACCCCUAACACGUCAGGUCAAGGUGUAGCUAAUGUGGGGGAAAGAGAUGGGCUACACUCUCUAACUCAGAGCCCUGUAAGCAUAUGAAACUACCCUGAAAGCAGGAUUUAGCAGUAAACUUAAUAAGCUUUGUUAACUUGAAGUUGCGCCCCAGGACGCGUACAC
rnacentral:rRNA from 1 species